rnacentral:rRNA from 1 species
AUUGAACGCUGGCGGCAGGCCUAACACAUGCAAGUCGAGCGGAUGAAGGGAGCUUGCUCCUGGAUUCAGCGGCGGACGGGUGAGUAAUGCCUAGGAAUCUGCCUGGUAGUGGGGGAUAACGUCCGGAAACGGGCGCUAAUACCGCAUACGUCCUGAGGGAGAAAGUGGGGGAUCUUCGGACCUCACGCUAUCAGAUGAGCCUAGGUCGGAUUAGCUAGUUGGUGGGGUAAAGGCCUACCAAGGCGACGAUCCGUAACUGGUCUGAGAGGAUGAUCAGUCACACUGGAACUGAGACACGGUCCAGACUCCUACGGGAGGCAGCAGUGGGGAAUAUUGGACAAUGGGCGAAAGCCUGAUCCGGCCAUGCCGCGUGUGUGAAGAAGGUCUUCGGAUUGUAAAGCACUUUAAGUUGGGAGGAAGGGCAGUAAGUUAAUACCUGGCUGUUUUGACGUUACCAACAGAAUAAGCACCGGCUAACUUCGUG